rnacentral:rRNA from 1 species
GAUCAUGGCUCAGGACGAACGCUGGCGGCGUGCCUAACACAUGCAAGUCGAACGGAACUGUUUUGAAAGAUUUCUUCGGAAUGAAUUUGAUUUAGUUUAGUGGCGGACGGGUGAGUAACGCGUGAGUAACCUGCCUUCAAGAGGGGGAUAACAUUCUGAAAAGAAUGCUAAUACCGCAUGACAUAUCGGAACCACAUGAUUUUGAUAUCAAAGAUUUUAUCGCUUGAAGAUGGACUCGCGUCCG